rnacentral:lncRNA from 1 species
GGAGGGACCGGAAGUCCGGAGGCCACAGACCCCCGGAUGCAGCUGCGGCGGAAGGCGCGUCCUGUUGGCUACUCCCGGUUUUCCUCUGCGUUUCUCCGCCUCGGAGACGCCGCAGUAAUAACGGGCCCACCAGCUACUGACGAGCUCACUCAGAGAUGCUUUACUUGCGCACACCUAACUAAUUGCCCUGUAAGGACGAUAGCUGCUGAAUUCAGAAAUUCAGAAGCUGGAUCCUGCCCUCUGGCCCUCUGGGACUGAGGAAUUGUACCUUAGGGGUGCACACCUUGGAGAAAGCACACACCUCCAGUUUGUUGGACAGCAGGAUCAAAAACCAACCCACCAACACCUUAAAAACAUAUGUAUUUAUUUUAUGGAGGCAUCCUCUGAUAAAGAAUGCUAAGACCUUACCAAAGAUUUCACAGGGACACAGAAGACAAGCAGGGAAUGAAGAUCCAGCCUGCAACCAUCUUAGGCUUAAAAGCCAUCUUAUCAUAAAGACAAAGGAGGUCCAUUCCUAUUUAUGAUUAAACUUCUGUUUUUCAAGGA